rnacentral:rRNA from 1 species
AUUGAACGCUGGCGGAAUGCUUUACACAUGCAAGUCGAACGGCAGCACGGACUUCGGUCUGGUGGCGAGUGGCGAACGGGUGAGUAAUGUAUCGGAACGUGCCCGGUCGUGGGGGAUAACGUAGUGAAAAUUACGCUAAUACCGCAUACGAUCUAUGGAUGAAAGCGGGGGAUCGCAAGACCUCGCGCGAUUGGAGCGGCCGAUAUCAGAUUAGGUAGUUGGUGGGGUAAAGGCCCACCAAGCCAACGACCUGUAGCUGGUCUGAGAGGACGACCAGCCACACUGGAACUGAGACACGGUCCAGACUCCUACGGGAGGCAGCAGUGGGGAAUUUUGGACAAUGGGCGAAAGCAUGAUCCAGCCAUUCCGCGGGCAGGAUGAAGGCCCUCGGGUUGUAAACUGCUUUUGUACAGAACGAAAAGGUUUCUACUAAUACUAGGAGCUCAUGACGGUACUGUAAGAAUAAGCACCGGCUAACUACGUGCCAGCAGCAGCCGCGG